CACAGUGCCAUCUAGUGACCGCGCGCGCCCGGGGGGCCGACGGUAAAUCAGGCUCCAAAGCAGAGUGGUUAAAGAAAAUUUACGUCCUGCAGCCAGCGCGGUGGGGAGCUCAAACGACGACUUUUUGUCUUUGGCGCUGGGGGCAAGGCGUCUCAUAAUCAGUGGGAACCUCACCAGAGCUGCCUGGACCUUCACCUGGACAGACGUCAGCAGACAUCACCCAGCCUCCGGUCACUGCCUUCCCUCACGCCAGGGAAGCCAGAUUUGUAAUAAGGUAGCGAUGAGCAAAGGUUCCUUUGUUUCACUUGAGUUUCAGAGCGUAUCCCACUCAUUCAUGGUGCUGAAGGUCAAGGCGUUCAAAUGUUCCACUGAAUGAGGCUCACCUGCCAAAUGCCACAAAGAUGCUGUGGAUUGAAUGCUGUUGUUCGUGUAUGUGGGACAACCUAUUCAAUUGAUGGAUGGGGCAGAAUCUUCCAGAAUUGACUGUAAAUAUAUUUUGGAUGUUGAACAAUUGUAGUCAUUUUUCAUCUUGUGUAGAUCAUCAAUAAAAAUGGGAUGGGUUCUUAAAACAAAAAUAAAGACCUCAUUUAAUGUUGA